rnacentral:rRNA from 1 species
AGAUUGAACGCUGGCGGCGUGCUUAACACAUGCAAGUCGAGCGGUAACGCGGGAGCAAUCCUGGCGACGAGCGGCGAACGGGUGAGUAAUGCUUGGGAAUCUGCCCAUUAGUGGGGAACAACCAGCCGAAAGGUUGGCUAAUACCGCAUACGCCCUACGGGGGAAAGCGGGGGAUCGAAAGACCUCGCGCUAAUGGAUGAGCCCAAGUCGGAUUAGCUUGUUGGUAGGGUAACGGCCUACCAAGGCGACAAUCCGUAGCUGGUCUGAGAGGACGACCAGCCACACUGGGACUGAGACACGGCCCAGACUCCUACGGGAGGCAGCAGUGGGGGAAUAUUGGACAAUGGGGGCAACCCUGAUCCAGCGACGCCGCGUGUGUGAAGAAGGCCUGCGGGUUGUAAAGCACUUUUAGUGGGGAUGAAAAGCUCAGGGUUAACACCUCUGGGUCUUGACCUAACCACAGAAAAGCACCGGCUAACUCUGCGCCAGCAGCCGC